rnacentral:rRNA from 1 species
CCAAGACAAGAUCUUGCAUCAAAUUCUGGAAGAGAACAGCAAAAGGAUCAAGAUAUCUUGAAUGCCAUGUCAUGUGUGAACUCAACACGGAAUGAUCUACAACAACUAAGAGAUGAUGGAUGGGAAUCACUUCUAGAGAAGGUAUAUUCAUUCUGUGAAGAACAUGACAUUCCUAAGGUAAACAUGCAUGAUGAAUAUGUCGAUCGGCAUAAACCAAGAAAAAGAACCAAUAUUACAAACCUUCAUCAUUACCAAAUAGAGUGCCUUAAUUCUGUUAUUGAUUGGCAACUUCGAGAGUUCGAUGAUAGAUUCAAUGAAGUGAAUUCUGCACUGCUUAUCCACAUGGCUUCUUUCAAC